rnacentral:ncRNA from 1 species
GGGUGAAGUUCAGUCCCGAUACUGUAAGGGUCCUGGCCCUGAUAAGGGCCGAUCCUGUC